rnacentral:lncRNA from 1 species
CGGAGGCCCCCUGCCCCUGCCCACGCACCCCUUCCCCUAUAGCAGACUGCCUCAUCCCUUCCCAUUCCACCCUCUCCAGCCCUGGAAACCUCACCCUCUGGAGUCCUUCCUGGGCAAACUGGCCUGUGUAGACAGCCAGAAACCCUUGCCUGACCCACACCUGAGCAAACUGGCCUGUGUAGACAGUCCAAAGCCCCUGCCUGGCCCACACCUGGAGCCCAGCUGCCUGUCUCGUGGUGCCCAUGAGAAGUUUUCUGUGGAGGAAUACCUAGUGCAUGCUCUGCAAGGCAGCGUGAGCUCAGGCCAGGCCCACAGCCUGACCAGCCUGGCCAAGACCUGGGCAGCAAGGGGCUCCAGAUCCCGGGAGCCCAGCCCCAAAACUGAGGACAACGAGGGUGUCCUGCUCACUGAGAAACUCAAGCCAGUGGAUUAUGAGUACCGAGAAGAAGUCCACUGGGCCACGCACCAGCUCCGCCUGGGCAGAGGCUCCUUCGGAGAGGUGCACAGGAUGGAGGACAAGCAGACUGGCUUCCAGUGCGCUGUCAAAAAGGUGCGGCUGGAAGUAUUUCGGGCAGAGGAGCUGAUGGCAUGUGCAGGAUUGACCUCACCCAGAAUUGUCCCUUUGUAUGGAGCUGUGAGAGAAGGGCCUUGGGUCAACAUCUUCAUGGAGCUGCUGGAAGCUGACAACGUGCUCCUGUCCAGCGAUGGGAGCCACGCAGCCCUCUGUGACUUUGGCCAUGCUGUGUGUCUUCAACCUGAUGGCCUGGGAAAGUCCUUGCUCACAGGGGACUACAUCCCUGGCACAGAGACCCACAUGGCUCCGGAGGUGGUGCUGGGCAGGAGCUGCGACGCCAAGGUGGAUGUCUGGAGCAGCUGCUGUAUGAUGCUGCACAUGCUCA